rnacentral:rRNA from 1 species
AUGCAGUCGAGCGUGAACCCUUCGGGGUGAAUUAGCGGCGGACGGGUGAGUAACACGUGGGUAACCUGCCUUAUAGAGGGGGAUAGCCUUCCGAAAGGAAGAUUAAUACCGCAUGAAAUGUUUUUAUCGCAUGGUAGAAACAUCAAAGGAGUAAUCCGCUAUAAGAUGGACCCGCGGCGCAUUAGCUAGUUGGUGAGGUAACGGCCCACCAAGGCGACGAUGCGUAGCCGACCUGAGAGGGUGAUCGGCCACAUUGGAACUGAGACACGGUCCAGACUCCUACGGGAGGCAGCAGUGGGGAAUAUUGCGCAAUGGGGGAAACCCUGACGCAGCAACGCCGCGUGAAUGAAGAAGGCCUUAGGGUUGUAAAGUCUGUUUUCUGGGACGAUAAUGACGGUACCAGAGGAGGAGCACGGCUAACUACUGCAGA